UACGGAGGGUGCGAGCGUUAAUCGGAAUUACUGGGCGUAAAGCGUGCGCAGGCGGUCUUGCAAGACAGGUGUGAAAUCCCCGGGCUUAACCUGGGAACUGCACUUGUGACUGCAAGGCUGGAGUACGGCAGAGGGGGAUGGAAUUCCGCGUGUAGCAGUGAAAUGCGUAGAUAUGCGGAGGAACACCGAUGGCGAAGGCAAUCCCCUGGGCCUGUACUGACGCUCAUGCACGAAAGCGUGGGGAGCAAACAGG
rnacentral:rRNA from 1 species